rnacentral:rRNA from 1 species
ACCCGCUGAACUUAAGCAUAUCAAUAAGCGGAGGAAAAGAAACCAACAGGGAUUGCCCUAGUAACGGCGAGUGAAGCGGCAACAGCUCAAAUUUGAAAUCUGGCUCUUUUAGAGUCCGAGUUGUAAUUUGCAGAGGGCGCUUUGGCUUUGGCAGCGGUCCAAGUUCCUUGGAACAGGACGUCACAGAGGGUGAGAAUCCCGUACGUGGUCGCUGGCUAUUGCCGUGUAAAGCCCCUUCGACGAGUCGAGUUGUUCGGGAAUGCAGCUCUAAAUGGGAGGUACAUUUCUUCUAAAGCUAAAUAUUGGCCAGAGACCGAUAGCGCACAAGUAGAGUGAUCGAAAGAUGAAAAGCACUUUGGAAAGAGAGUCAAACAGCACGUGAAAUUGUUGAAAGGGAAGCGCUUGCAGCCAGACUUGCUUACAGUUGCUCAUCCGGGCUUUUGCCCGGUGCACUCUUCUGUAGGCAGGCCAGCAUCAGUUUGGGCGGUAGGAUAAAGGUCUCUGUCACGUACCUCUCUUCGGGGAGGCCUUAUAGGGGAGACGACAUACUACCAGCCUGGACUGAGGUCCGCGCAUCUGCUAGGAUGCUGGCGUAAUGGCUGU